UACAGAGGGGGCAAGCGUUGUUCGGAAUUACUGGGCGUAAAGGGCUCGUAGGCGGCCAACUAAGUCAUACGUGAAAUCCCUCAGCUUAACUGGGGAACUGCGUGUGAUACUGGAUGGCUUGGAUUUGGGAGAGAGAUGCGGAAUUCCAGGUGUAGCGGUGAAAUGCGUAGAUAUCUGGAGGAACACCGGUGGCGAAGGCGGCAUCCUGGACCAAUAUUGACGCUGAGGAGCGAAAGCUAGGGGAGCAAACGGG
rnacentral:rRNA from 1 species